CUACGGGGGGCAGCAGUGGGGAAUAUUGGACAAUGGGGGAAACCCUGAUCCAGCAAUGCCGCGUGUGUGAAGAAGGCCUGCGGGUUGUAAAGCACUUUCGGUUGGGAGGACUGCUUCUAGCACUAAUAUUGUUGGAAGUUGACGUUACCUUCAGAAGAAGCACCGGCUAACUCCGUGCCAGCAGCCGCGGUGAAUACGGAGGGUGCAAGCGUUAAUCGGAAUUACCGGGCGUAAAGCGCGCGUAGGCGGCUAGAUCAGUCGGGUGUGAAAGCCCCGGGCUUAACCUGGGAACUGCAUCCGAUACUGUCUAGCUUGAGUACAGGAGAGGAGAGUGGAAUUCCACAUGUAGCGGUGAAAUGCGUAGAUAUGUGGAGGAACACCAAUGGCGAAGGCAGCUCUCUGGCCUGAUACUGACGCUGAGGUGCGAAAGCGUGGGGAGCAAACAGGAUUAGAUACCCCUGUAGUC
rnacentral:rRNA from 1 species